rnacentral:rRNA from 1 species
GACGAACGCUGGCGGCGUGCCUAAUACAUGCAAGUUGAGCGCUGAAGGUUGGUACUUGUACCAACUGGAUGAGCAGCGAACGGUUGAGUAACGCGUGGUGAAUCUGCCUUUGAUCGGGUGACAACAUUUUUAAACUAAUGCUAAUACCGCAUAAAAACUUUAAAAAAAAGUUUUAAUUUUGAAAGAUGCAAUUGCAACACUCACAGAUGAUCCCGCUUUGUAUUAGCUAGUUGGUGAGGUAAAGGCUCACCAAGGCUAGGAUACAUAGACGACCUGAAAGGGUGAUAGGCGACAUUGGGAUGGAGACACGAACAAAAAUAUUACAAGAGGCAGCAGUAGGGAAUAUUAGGCAAUGGAAGAAAUUCUGAACGAGCAACGCCGCGUGAGUGAAGAAUGUAUUCGGAUCGUAAAACUCUGUUGGGGGAGAAGAACGUUGGGGAGAGUGGAAAGCGCAUCAAGUGACGGUAACAAAACAGAAAGGGACGGCUAACUACGUG